ensembl:lncRNA
CAAUUAUAUAUGUUAUAUACCGUUAUAUAUAUUGUAUCAUUUGAAAGGCUUUAUGUUCAUGCUCUAGUAUUCAUGUCAAAAAUUAUGUAUUUCAUGGUCGAUGUGCCAGCCUGUCCAAUCACCACGAAGACACCACAUAAAAUUUCAAUCGCAGGCCUUGUUAGUCACUUUAUUUCCAUUUUUAGAAUAUUUUCUUCAUUUUAAUUUGGAAUAAAUGUGUCUGAAAGAUGAUAUGCAAUGGACAAAAAGGGAGAAAAAUGGGGUCAGAAAAAAGGUGGAUUCAAACUCGGGUUACGUCAAAAGGUGCGGUAAUUGUCCUUACUCAACAUGCCACUAUUCCUGUUGACUUUUGGGUAUCAUUCUCAAUUUUCAGUCAAUUGUGUAAAUAGCCUAUACCAGCAAGAUGGGGUCUUUGACAUUCCAUUUGAUAAUAGUCCACCUGUGGCAAAUACAGUACCUUAUUGUGAUUUAGAAUUAAAUAAUGAUAUCAUAAGAGCAAGAAUGCUGUUAUUUGGAAUGUGUUUUAACCAAAAAAUGUAGACUGUACUCAAACAGUUUGCUAAUAUAUGUGUACCAUGUUUACCUGUAUGUGUUUCAGUGCUGUGGUAAAGAUGUCUACAGUCUAACAGAUGACAAUGUGCUGUGCUGUAAUGGAAUCCUUUAUCGCAAUGUGCCUGAACAGUCAGAGUGUGUCGGAGGUGUUAUAUAUACUCAAAACCAGAUUAAGAUGUUGACUUGUGGCUCGGAAGUCUAUGACCACAAAAAACAGCUGUGCUGCUCAGGUCAUCUCUACAACAAAAUUAAAGCAGAAUGCUGUGGAAACCUCUUGCUGAAAUAUAAUAACAAUCAAAUUUGCUGUUCCUCUUCAACCCAUGCCAUGAUUUAUGAUACCAAACAAGAGCAUUUGUGCUGUGGGCAUUACUACUACAACACGUCCCUGUGGAGCUGCUGUGCUGAACAUCUCAAACCAACACCAAAGACAGACAGUUAUCCACCAGAAUACAGACUUAAACCACUAACGGACCUGAUCCCUGACAUAUGCCAUAAAACAGUGCUCUUUGGCAAAGUGGAGAGUGUGGUACUUCGCCAAAAAUGGCGUGACAUUGUGUUGAGAGUCAUUGUGGCGGUCAGCGAGUUAUCACAAGGGACUUUACUCCAUGUGUCCCUGGAUCACUGCAGUUCUCCUGCGCUAGAAAACAGCAUGACUUACCUUUGGGAGGAAAACAACAGGAAGUACAAGCCUCUCUCCAUCCCUGUUGAUGUAACCUCUGACAUUCACAUGUUCUUUACAGCAUGUGACCUAAAUCUCAUGCAGGCCUUAAAGCGGAGUGUCAACACAUGUUCACACAUGCGCCAUAUUCACGGUGUAUUUUCAAUGCAAGUACACUUUUAAAGAGAAUCAUUUGACCUAUCGGUAAGCCCCAUCCCCCUUAUUUACUGUUGUGAACUUGGACAAACAAAUGGAGUUGCUAACUGUCUUACAAUGACAUGCAGUGUCAAUGUCAAAACCUUGUCCCGAGAUGUUUUAGAUAAAUUUUGUACACAGAAGGAUCAGCAUUCACAUGGGACAUAAAUAUGUCAUAGAGGGAUAUAAAAAAUAUUUUAAAAUAAAUAUUGUGGGUAUUAAUUUGGAAGCA